rnacentral:lncRNA from 1 species
UUCUCACAUUUAUGCACAUUGCUCUAAGAAUUUUAAUGUUUUUUGUUUCUCUGCCAGGGUUUUACUGCCUGGAAGGGGCAUCUGCUCCCGUGCCCUGCCCAGCAGGCACCAUGAGUCCGGUCGAGGGGCUUCAGUCUCCUCUGGACUGCUCUCUGUGUCCUCCAGGAUUUUACUGCAACACUACUGCACUCACCAGCCCCUCAGGAGCCUGUAAUGCUGGUCAUUUCUGUUCGUCUGGAGCCACAGAGUCAGCACCAGUCUCUCAGAGGUAUGGGGACGUCUGCCCAGCAGGCUGGUAUUGCCCUCAGCAGAGCAGCGCUCCUGUGCCAUGCCCUGUUGGACACUAUUUUUCAGAUAAAGGAGCUUCUUCUCUUACCUUUUGCUCACCCUGCCCUCCAGGCAGAUACUGCCACACACCUGGAUCCUCUCAGCCCUCAGGGUUUUGCUCUCCUGGUCACUACUGCACAGGAAGUGCUGAAACUGCAGCUCCUCAGGCCAAACCCAUCCAGCUCAGAUGCUUCUGUAACUUUAUUCCAGAGUCCAGCCAGGCUGAGUAUUCACUCUGUGCUCAGAGAGACAGCACACGCUGCUUAACUGGUGAAGGUGAAGAGGGGUGUACUGACUCAGACCUCAGUCCUGCUUCAGAUUCAGAAAACUCUGAAUCUAAUUCUGAAUUAACUUUGGACGGCAAACAAGUGGAAUGCUCUGAUUUCAGAGGAGACGUGUGUCCUGUAGGUAAGCAGAAAUUAUGCUGUUAAAUAUAUUAUACAGUACAGGCCAAAAGUGUGGACCUUCUCUUUUUCAAUGCGUUUUCUUUAUUUUCAUGACUAUUUACAUUGUAGAUUCUCACUGAAGCAUCAAAACUAUGAAUGAACACAUGUGGAGUUUUAUGUACUUAACAAAAAAUGGUGAAAU